rnacentral:rRNA from 1 species
CAAUAGCGUAUACUAAUGUUGUUGCAGUUAAAAAGCUCGUAGUUGAACUUCUGGUAGGAGUGUCCCGGCCUUUUUGUUUUCACAAAUUGUAUGCUGUGUGACAUCUCUGGCCAUCCUUCUUCUUUGUUUAAAGAAGAUCUUUCACUGUAAAAAAAUUAGGGUGUUCAAAGCAAAAGUUUCUUUGGAAUAUAUUAGUAUGGGAUGAUAAGAUAGGCUCUAGAUGCUAUUUUGUUGGUUUGCACAUUUAGAGAAUGAUUAACAGGGACAGUUGGGGGUAUUCGUAUUUACAUGUCAGAGGUGAAAUUCUUGGAUUUUGGAAAGACGAACUACUGCGAAAGCAUUUACCAAGGAUGUUUUCAUUAA